AGCGAACGCUGGCGGCGUGCCUAACACAUGCAAGUCGAACGUGAAAAAGGAAACCUGAGUAAAGUGGCGUACGGGUGAGUAACGCGUAGGUAAUCUACCCCAGAAUCUGGAAUAACCUGCCGAAAGGCGGGCUAAUACUGGAUAGAGCGAGGGAACUCGUAAGAGAGUUUUUCGGGAAAGGGAGCCCGCAAGGGCCUUCGUUCUGGGAUGAGCCUGCGUCUCAUUAGCUAGUUGGUAAGGUAACGGCUUACCAAGGCGAUGAUGAGUAGCUGGUCUGAGAGGAUGAUCAGCCACACUGGAACUGAAACACGGUCCAGACUCCUACGGGAGGCAGCAGUGGGGAAUCUUGCGCAAUGGACGAAAGUCUGACGCAGCCACGCCGCGUGAGUGAAGAAGGCCUUCGGGUUGUAAAGCUCUGUCGGAUGGGACGAACAUCUUCAUAGUGAAUAGCUAUGAGGACUGACGGUACCAUCAAAGGAAGCACCGGCUAACUCCGUG
rnacentral:rRNA from 1 species